ensembl:lncRNA
GGAUUCUCGAAGAGCAAAUGUGUGAUUUUCGGGUUAAAUGGGGGAUUCUCGAAGAGCAAACGCGUGAUUUUCGGGUUAAAUGGGGGAUUCUCAAAGAGAAAACGCGUGAUUUUCGCUUAAAUGGGGGAUUCUCGAAGAGAAAACGCGUGAUUUUCGGGUUAAAAGGGGGAUUUCCGAAGAGAAAACGUGUGAUUUUCGGGAUAAAUGGCAGAUUUCCGAAGAGAAAACGCGUGAUUUUCAGGUUAAGUGGGGGAUUCUCGGAGAGCAAACGCGUGAUUUUUCACUUAAAUGGGGGAUUCUCGAAGAGAAAACGCGUGAUUUUCGGAAUAAGUGGGGGAUUCUCAAAGAAAAAACGGAUGAUUUUUUCUUAAAUGGCAAAUUUCAAAAUAUAAGCCGCGUGAUUUUCAAGUUAAAUGGGUGAUUAUCAAAGAGAAAACGCAUGAUUUUCUCUUAAAUGGGGGAUUCUCGAAGAGCAAAUGUGUGAUUUUCGGGUUAAAUGGGGGAUUCUCGAAGAGAAAAUGCGUGAUUUUCCGGUUAAGUGGGGGAUUCUCGAAGAGAAAACGCGUGAUUUUUGGUUUAAAUGGGGGAUUCUCGAAGAGAAAACGCGUGAUUUUCGGGUUAAGUGGGGGAUUCUCAAAGAGAAACCACCUGAUUUUCGCAUAAAUGAAGGAUUUGCGAAGAGGAAGCGCGGGAUUUUUGAUUAAAUGGGGGAUUCUCGGAGAGAAAACGCGUGAUUUUCACUUAAAUGGGGGAUUCUCGAAGAGAAAACGCGUGAUUUUCGGGUUAAACGAGGGAUUCUCGUUGAAAAAAACGCGUGAUUUUCAGUUAAAAGGCGGAUUCUCGAAGAGAAAACGCGUGAUUUGCAAGUUAAAUGGGUGAUUAUCAAAGAGAAAACGCGUGUUUUUUGGUUUAAAUGGGGGAUUUCCGAAGAGAAAACGUGUGAUUUUCGGGUUAAAUGGCAGAUUUCCGAAGAGAAAACGCGUGAUUUUCGGGUUAAAUGGGGGAUUCUCAAAGAGAAAACGCGUGAUUUUCGGGUUAAAUGAGGGAUUCUCGAAGAGAAAACGUGUGAUUUUCGCUUAAAUGAAGGAUUUGCGAAGAGGAAGCGCGUGAUUUUCCGGUUAAAUGGGGGAUUCUCGAAGAGAAAACGCGUGAUUUUCAGGUUAAGUGGGGGAUUCUCGGAGAGCAAACGCGUGAUUUUUCACUUAAAUGGGGGAUUCUCGAAGAGAAAACGCGUGAUUUUCGGGAUAAGUGGGGGAUUCUCAAAGAAAAAACGGAUGAUUUUUUCUUAAAUGGCAAAUUUCAAAAUAUAAGCCGCGUGAUUUUCAAGUUAAAUGGGUGAUUAUCAAGAGAAAACGCAUGAUUUUCUCUUAAAUGGGGGAUUCUCGAAGAGCAAAUGUG